AAAGUCGGCAGGCUACACAUGCAGUCGAGGGGUACAUAGAAAAGCUUGCUUUUCUGAUGACGACCGGCGCACGGGUGCGUAACGCGUAUACAACCUACCUUUUAGCGGGGAAUAGCCCAGGGAAACUUGGAUUAAUGCCCCAUAGUAUAUAAACUUCUCCUGAAAUUUAUAUUAAACAUUUAUGGCUAUUAGAUGGGUAUGCGUCCUAUUAGUUAGUUGGUAAGGUAACGGCUUACCAAGGCAGCGAUAGGUAGGGGUCCUGAGAGGGAGAUCCCCCACACUGGUACUGAGACACGGACCAGACUCCUACGGGAGGCAGCAGUGAGGAAUAUUGGACAAUGGGCGAGAGCCUGAUCCAGCCAUGCCGCGUGCAGGAAGACUGCCCUAUGGGUUGUAAACUGCUUUUACAGAGGAAGAACCACCCCCACGUGUGGGGGUUUGACGGUACUCUGCGAAUAAGGAUCGGCUAACUCCGUGCCAGCAGCCGCGGUAAUACGGAGGAUCCAAGCGUUAUCCGGAAUCAUUGGGUUUAAAGGGUCCGUAGGCGGGCAGUUAAGUCAGUGGUGAAAGUCUUCCGCUCAACGGGAGAACUGCCAUUGAUACUGAUUGUCUUGAGUUAUUAUGAAGUGGUUAGAAUGAGUAGUGUAGCGGUGAAAUGCAUAGAUAUUACUCAGAAUACCGAUUGCGAAGGCAGAUCACUAAUAAUAUACUGACGCUGAUGGACGAAAGCGUAGGUAGCGAACAGGAUUAGAUACCCUGGUAGUCUACGCCGUAAACGAUGGUUACUAGCUGUUCGGCCCAAUUGAGGGCUGAGUGGUUAAGCGAAAGUGAUAAGUAACCCACCUGGGGAGUACGUUCGCAAGAAUGAAACUCAAAGGAAUUGACGGGGGCCCGCACAAGCGGUGGAGCAUGUGGUUUAAUUCGAUGAUACGCGAGGAACCUUACCAGGGCUUAAAUGUAGUCUGACAGGUCUGGAAACAGACUUUUCUUCGGACAGAUUACAAGGUGCUGCAUGGUUGUCGUCAGCUCGUGCCGUGAGGUGUCAGGUUAAGUCCUAUAACGAGCGCAACCCCUGUGGUUAGUUGCCAGCGAGUAAUGUCGGGAACUCUAGCCAGACUGCCGGUGCAAACCGCGAGGAAGGUGGGGAUGACGUCAAAUCAUCACGGCCCUUACGUCCUGGGCCACACACGUGCUACAAUGGUAGGGACAGAGAGCAGCCACUUCGCGAGAAGGAGCGAAUCUACAAACCCUAUCACAGUUCGGAUCGCAGUCUGCAACUCGACUGCGUGAAGCUGGAAUCGCUAGUAAUCGCAUAUCAGCCAUGAUGCGGUGAAUACGUUCCCGGGCCUUGUACACACCGCCCGUCAAGCCAUGGAAGCCGGGGGUACCUGAAGUCGGUCACCGCAAGGAGCCGCCUAGGGUAAAAACUGAAAGG
rnacentral:rRNA from 1 species